rnacentral:rRNA from 1 species
UACGUAGGGUGCAAGCGUUGUCCGGAAUUAUUGGGCGUAAAGAGCUCGUAGGCGGUUUGUCGCGUCUGCUGUGAAAACCCGAGGCUCAACCUCGGGCCUGCAGUGGGUACGGGCAGACUAGAGUGCGGUAGGGGAGAUUGGAAUUCCUGGUGUAGCGGUGGAAUGCGCAGAUAUCAGGAGGAACACCAAUGGCGAAGGCAGAUCUCUGGGCCGUAACUGACGCUGAGGCGCGAAAGCGUGGGGAGCGAUCCGG